rnacentral:rRNA from 1 species
AUGAACGCUGGCGGCGUGCUAACACAUGCAAGUCGAACGGAGAUAUUGCUUGAAGCUUUCGAGGUGAAAGAGAAGUAUCUUAGUGGCGGACGGGUGAGUAACGCGUGAGCAACCUGCCUCAUACAGGGGGAUAGCAUCGGGAAACUGGUGGUAAACCGCAUAAGCGCACGAAGACGCAUGUUUUUGUGUAGAAAAGGAGAAAUCUGGUAUGAGAUGGACCCGCGUCUGAUUAGCUAGUUGGAGUGGUAAAAGCACACCAAGGCGACGAUCAGUAGCCGGCCUGAGAGGGUGGACGGCCACAUUGGGACUGAGACACGGCCCAGACUCCUACGGGAGGCAGCAGUGGGGAAUAUUGCACAAUGGAGAGAACUCUGAUGCAGCGACGCCGCGUGAGUGAAGAAGUAAUUCGUUAUGUAAAGCUCUAUCAGCAGGGAAGAAAGUGACGGUACCUGAAAAAGAAGCUCCGGCUAAAUACGUG